rnacentral:rRNA from 1 species
CACGUAGGGCGCAAGCGUUGUCCGGAAUCAUUGGGCGUAAAGCGCGCGUAGGCGGCCUCAUAAGUCCGUUGUGAAAGUCAAAGGCUCAACCUUUGAAAGCCGAUGGAUACUGUGGGGCUAGAGUCCGGAAGAGGCGAGUGGAAUUCCUGGUGUAGCGGUGGAAUGCGCAGAUAUCAGGAGGAACACCAAUAGCGAAGGCAGCUCGCUGGGACGGUACUGACGCUAAGGCGCGAAAGCGUGGGGAGCGAACAGG